GGGAGUAUAGCUCAAUGGUUAGAGUGCUUGCUUAGCAUGAACAAGGUCUUGGGCUCAAUUCUCAGUACCUCCA
rnacentral:tRNA from 1 species